rnacentral:rRNA from 1 species
CUACGGGUGGCACCAGUGAGGAAUAUUGCACAAUGGGGGGAACCCUGAUGCAGCAACGCCGCGUGGAGGAUGACGCAUUUCGGUGUGUAAACUCCUUUUAUAUGUCAAGAAAAUGACGGUAGCAUAUGAAUAAGCACCGGCUAACUCCGUGCCAGCAGCCGCGGUAAUACGGAGGGUGCAAGCGUUACUCGGAAUCACCGGGCGUAAAGGACGCGUAGGCGGGUUGGAAAGUCAGGUGUGAAAUCCUACAGCUUAACUGUAGAACUGCACUUGAAACUUCUAAUCUAGAGUAUGGGAGGGGGAGAUGGAAUUAGUGGUGUAGGGGUGAAAUCCGUAGAUAUCACUAGGAAUACCUAAAGCGAAGGCGAUCUCCUGGAACAUUACUGACGCUAAGGCGUGAAAGCGUGGGGAGCAAACAGGAUUAGAUACCCCGGUAGUC